UCGGCUCUUUUUUCCGGGUUAAUUACGUUUCGCAUUAAAGCAAAACCCAGCCCCGGAUGAUUAGAGAUUAUUAAUCUCCUUUUACAGAUGGAAGAAUUUAGGUUUUCAGGAGAGAGAUACAAUCUCAGCAUCACAUGGCCAGGCAUGAGAUGAAUCCACCUGAAUCCUCAUUCAGUGACCCUGCCCAACACCCAAGUGAGGCCCAAAUCCGAUAGGAUUGGUCACCUUAUAAGAAGAGGAAGAGAUCUCUCCCUCUCUCCAUGUGCACCAAGGAAAGGCUACGUGAAUGCCCAGCAAGAAGGUGGCCACCUGCAUGCAAGCCAGGAGGAGAGCUGUCCCCAGAACCUGACAUGCUGGCAAACUGAUGUCGGACUCCAGCCUCCAGAAC